GUCGAAACACCGGUUCCCGUACGAUCAGCGAAGUUAAGCAACUUCGAGCCAGGUCAGUACAUAGAUGGGUGAACGCUUGUAAG